rnacentral:rRNA from 1 species
GACGAACGCUGGCGGCGUGCUUAACACAUGCAAGUCGAACGGAAAGGCCCUGCUUGCGGGGUGCUCGCGUGGCGAACGGGGGAGUAACACGUGGGUGAUCUGCCCCUUACUUUGGGAUAAGCCUGGGAAACUGGGUCUAGUACUGGAUAGGACCAUGCUGGAGGUGGGGUGGUGGAAAGAUUAGUUUCGGUAAGGGAUGAGCUCGCGGCCUAUCAGCUUGUUGGUGGGGUAAUGGCCUACCAAGGCGUCGACGGGUAGCCGGCCUGAGGGGGUGGUGGGCCACAUUGGGACUGAGAUACGGCGCAGACGCCUACGAGAGGCAGCAGUGGGGAGUAUUGCACAAUGGGCGCAAGCCCGAUGCAGCGACGCCGCGUGGGGGGUGACGGCCUUCGGGUUGUAAACUCCUUUCAGCCAUGACGAAGCCCUUGUGGUGACGGUAGUGGUAGAAGAAGCACCGGCUAACUACGUG